GAUGAACGCUGGCGGCGUGCCUAAUACAUGCAAGUCGAGCGAACAGACGAGGAGCUUGCUCCUCUGACGUUAGCGGCGGACGGGUGAGUAACACGUGGAUAACCUACCUAUAAGACUGGGAUAACUUCGGGAAACCGGAGCUAAUACCGGAUAAUAUAUUGAACCGCAUGGUUCAAUAGUGAAAGACGGUUUUGCUGUCACUUAUAGAUGGAUCCGCGCCGCAUUAGCUAGUUGGCAAGGUAACGGCUUACCAAGGCAACGAUGCGUAGCAGACCUGAGAGGGUGAUCGGCCACACUGGAACUGAGACACGGUCCAGACUCAUAAGAGAGGCAGAAGUAGGGAAUCUUACGGAAUGGGCGAAAGCCUGACGGAGCAACGACGCGUGAGUGAUGAAGGUCUUCGGAUCGUAAAACUCUGUUAUUAGGGAAGACCAAAUGUGUAAGUAACUAUGCACGUCUUGACGGUACCUAAUCAGAAAGCCACGGCUAACUACGUG
rnacentral:rRNA from 1 species